rnacentral:rRNA from 1 species
UACGUAGGGCGCAAGCGUUAUCCGGAAUUAUUGGGCGUAAAGGGCGCGUAGGUGGUUUGUCGCGUUGUCCGUGAAAACUCACAACUCAAUUGUGGGCGUGCGGGCGAUACGGGCAGACUGGAGUACUGCAGGGGAGACUGGAAUUCCUGGUGUAGCGGUGGAAUGCGCAGAUAUCAGGAGGAACACCGGUGGCGAAGGCGGGUCUCUGGGCAACAACUGACGCUGAGGAGCGAAAGCGUGGGGAGCGAACAGG